rnacentral:rRNA from 1 species
AGCUCCAAUAGCGUAUAUUAUUGAUGUUGCAGUUGAAACGUUCGUAGUCGAUCUGGGUCCGCCGGGGCUUUCUGUACACUUUCGAGGUGUCAGAAACGCCAUGUUGUGGAGAUACAUCAUCAAUCCCUGUAUGCUUCAUACAGGUGCUUGGUGAUGGUACUUUGAGUGAAUCGGCGUGUUUCACGCAGGCUUCUUGCUUGAACGUUUCACCAUAGUAUACCUAGACUGUAAGAGUACCCUUUGAUCAGCUGAGGGGUAUUCUUUACAGCUAUGAGAACGGUUCAGGGCAUUCGUAUUCAACUGCCAGAGGUGAAAUUCUAUGACUAGUUGAGGACGAACCAUUGCGAAAGCAUCUGCCAGGGACGUUUCUG